rnacentral:rRNA from 1 species
GAUGAACGCUGGCGGCGUGCCUAAUACAUGCAAGUCGAGCGAAUGGAUUAAGAGCUUGCUCUUAUGAAGUUAGCGGCGGACGGGUGAGUAACACGUGGGUAACCUGCCCAUAAGACUGGGAUAACUCCGGGAAACCGGGGCUAAUACCGGAUAAUAUUUUGAACUGCAUGGUUCAAAAUUGAAGGGCGGCUUCGGCUGUCACUUAUGGAUGGACCCGCGUCGCAUUAGCUAGUUGGUGAGGUAACGGCUCACCAAGGCAACGAUGCGUAGCCGACCUGGGAGGGUGAUCGGCCACACUGGGACUGAGACACGGCCCAGACUCCUACGGGAGGCAGCAGUAGGGAAUCUUCCGCAAUGGACGAAAGUCUGACGGAGCAACGCCGCGUGAGUGAUGAAGGCUUUCGGGUCGUAAAACUCUGUUGUUAGGGAAGAACAAGUGCUAGUUGAAUAAGCUGGCACCUUGACGGUACCUAACCAGAAAGCCACGGCUAACUACGUGCCAGCCGCCGCCGUAA